AUAGCCAUGCAUGUCUAGUAUAAGCAAUUAUACCGUGAAACUGCGAAUGGCUCAUUAAAUCAGUUAUCGUUUAUUUGAUAGUACCUUACUACUUGGAUAACCGUGGUAAUUCUAGAGCUAAUACAUGCUAAAAACCCCAACUUCGGAAGGGGUGUAUUUAUUAGAUAAAAAACCAAUGCCCUUCGGGGCUCCUUGGUGAUUCAUAAUAACUUAACGGAUCGCAUGGCCUUGCGCCGGCGACGGUUCAUUCAAAUUUCUGCCCUAUCAACUUUCGAUGGUAAGGUAUUGGCUUACCAUGGUUUCAACGGGUAACGGGGAAUUAGGGUUCGACUCCGGAGAGGGAGCCUGAGAAACGGCUACCACAUCCAAGGAAGGCAGCAGGCGCGCAAAUUACCCAAUCCCGACACGGGGAGGUAGUGACAAUAAAUACUGAUACAGGGCUCUUUCGGGUCUUGUAAUUGGAAUGAGUACAAUUUAAAUCCCUUAACGAGGAACAAUUGGAGGGCAAGUCUGGUGAAUUCUCAGUUUUUGCUGACGCCAGAGAUAGUAGGGCCUUUGGCGGCUUUAGCUGCUAGAGGUUAUGCCUGCUAGUCGAGUAUUCACAACAGCGGUGGGUGAAUGCCGGCAAGGUGACCUGGUACGGGGAAGCCUAAGGGUGUUUACACCUAUGGUAAUCCCGUGGCGAGUCUUUCUGAAAAGAAAGGCCGUCGUAACGCGCGGAAAGGCACCGGCUUGUUGUAUUUAGUAAUGCAGCGGCUCAAGGGACGUGCUGACCCAUCUGAAAGGAUGUUUUUAACUGGAGCACCCACCGUGUAAAGGUUAAAAAGGGUCUCUGCCAGUGGCAGAGACUUGGGAGUGUUUAAGUGGCUUUUUGGGCGCCACGUAAACGCAUUUAACUCGGCCAGCAGCCGCGGUAAUUCCAGCUCCAAUAGCGUAUAUUAAAGUUGUUGCAGUUAAAAAGCUCGUAGUUGAACCUUGGGCCUGGCUGGCCGGUCCGCCUCACCGCGUGUACUGGUCCGGCCGGGCCUUUCUUUCUGGAGAUCCCCAUGUCCUUCACUGGGUGUGGCGGGGAACCAGGACUUUUACUGAGAAAAAAUUAGAGUGUUCAAAGCAGGCCUUUGCUCGAAUAUUCCAGCUUGGAAUAAUAGAAUAGGACGUGCGGUUCUAUUUUGUUGGUUUCUAGGACCGCCGUAAUGAUUAAUAGGGAUAGUCGGGGGCAUCAGUAUUCAAUUGUCAGAGGUGAAAUUCUUGGAUUUAUUGAAGACUAACUACUGCGAAAGCAUUUGCCAAGGAUGUUUUCAUUAAUCAGUGAACGAAAGUUAGGGGAUCGAAGACGAUCAGAUACCGUCGUAGUCUUAACCGUAAACUAUGCCGACUAGGGAUCGGGCGAUGUUGUUUUUUUGACUCGCUCGGCACCUUACGAGAAAUCAAAGUUUUUGGGUUCUGGGGGGAGUAUGGUCGCAAGGCUGAAACUUAAAGAAAUUGACGGAAGGGCACCACCAGGCGUAAACUUUUGCAGGACUCUGCGCUAUAAAGCAGCCUAUUUAUAGGUGUGGUGGUGCGACCUUAAAUGCUAGUUACUUCUAAUUAAGUUUAGAUGUAGCGACACACUUAAAUUGCGGGGAACUCCUGAAGCAUUUUAUGACCAAGCUAUUUCUUGAAAGAGGGUAGUGGCUAGUCUAAUCAACUAGGUAAGGUAACACUAUAAAAUGUAUAGGAUAAUCCGCAGCCAAGCUCCUAAUGCAGUUUCUUGUAAUGGAGAAGGUUCAGAGACUAAAUAAGUGUGGGUUGGCUUAAUUAAUAUCAAAGACAUUACAAAGGAUGGGAGGGGUUGGAUCGGUAAGUUGUGAAGAGAGCAGCGAAUUCAAUUGGAAUAGAGUAUGAGAAUUUCUUUGGCUUUGAAUAUUGUCUGUGAUGUCUGAUAAUUCGUUGUGCAAACAAUUUAAUGUUCUUUGAUAUUAACUAACAGCCAGCUUAAGAUAUAGUCCAAUCCCUUUUGAGAAGAAGGGUAGUAUUAGAAUGGGAGCCUGCGGCUUAAUUUGACUCAACACGGGGAAACUCACCAGGUCCAGAUGAAAUAAGGAUUGACAGAUUGAGAGCUCUUUCUUGAUUUUUCAGGUGGUGGUGCAUGGCCGUUCUUAGUUGGUGGAGUGAUUUGUCUGCUUAAUUGCGAUAACGAACGAGACCUUAACCUGCUAAAUAGCCAGGCUAGCUUUGGCUGGUCGCCGGCUUCUUAGAGGGACUAUCGGCUCAAGCCGAUGGAAGUUUGAGGCAAUAACAGGUUAACUCACAGGCCUGUAAUAGCGGGCCUCUUGAAAAUAUAACUGCUAGUCUAGUGUCGAUCUCCUUUGGGGAAGCCCCCAGCUGUCGGGAGGAGAGGAUAACUCUAUGUUAUCUUGACGCAGGCAACACCACCUGGUACAGGGAACGCCGGAUUGUCUAUUUUAUAGGCAAUUGGCCGAUCCUGUGGCGAGUCUGGGCAGCGCCAGACCGUCGCAACGCGCGCAAAGGGGUGGGUCAACGUUUACGUUGGCUUAAGGUACGUGCUAAUCCCUUGGGUAACCAAGCUCUGACGAUAAGACCCGACAGGUCAAGGCGUUAGAGGGCAGCAAUAGUUAAAGCUAUUGUUGCUGGUACACUGUUUAAGUUAAAAAAGAAGGCUGCUUCUAGUAACUUAAAUAGAUAAUAUGCUGUGAUGCCCUUAGAUGUUCUGGGCCGCACGCGCGCUACACUGACAGAGCCAACGAGUUCAUCACCUUGGCCGAAAGGUCUGGGUAAUCUUGUUAAACUCUGUCGUGCUGGGGAUAGAGCAUUGCAAUUAUUGCUCUUCAACGAGGAAUGCCUAGUAAGCGCAUGUCAUCAGCAUGCGUUGAUUACGUCCCUGCCCUUUGUACACACCGCCCGUCGCUACUACCGAUUGAAUGGCUCAGUGAGGCCUUCGGACUGGCUCAGGGAGGUCGGCAACGACCACCCAGAGCCGGAAAAGUGUCAA
rnacentral:rRNA from 1 species